GGCGAUCAGAUACCGCCCUAGUUCUGACCGUAAACGAUGCCAACUAGCGAUCCGCCAGUCGACUCAUCGCUCUGGUGGGGAGCUUCCCGGAAACGAAAGUCUUCCGGUUCCGGGGGAAGUAUGGUUGCAAAGCUGAAACUUAAAGGAAUUGACGGAAGGGCACCACCAGGAGUGGAGCCUGCGGCUUAAUUUGGCUCAACACGGGGAAACUCACCCGGCCCGGACACCGUAAGGAUUGACAGAUUGAUAGCUUUUUCAUGAUUCGGUGGAUGGUGGUGCAUGGCCGUUCUUAGUUCGUGGAGCGAUUUGUCUGGUUUAUUCCGAUAACGAGCGAGACUCUGGCCUACUAAAUAGUUGGCACAUUGCCACUGUGUGCCCAACUUCUUAGAGGGAUUUUCGGUGUUCAGCCGCACGAAAUUGAGCAAUAACAGGUCUGUGAUGCCCUUAGAUGUCCGGGGCUGCACGCGCGCUACACUGGCAAAAUCAGCGUGCUUGUCCUCCCCCGAAAGGGGUUGGUAAACCGAUGAAAAUUUGCCGUGAUUGGGAUCGGACAUUGCAACUAUUGUCCGUGAACGAGGAAUCCCUUGUAAGGGCGAGUCAUCAACUCGUCCUGAAUACGUCCCUGCCCUUGUA
rnacentral:rRNA from 1 species